GGCCCGUACAUUUGUUUUGGAUUGGCGGAAGUUGUCACCGACAAGAACAGUACGCAUGCUGGCCAGUAGAGGGCGACAGUCAGGUGCCUACACAUACCAACCGCUGGGAAACACGGAGGAAGAACCAGAGGGUGCAAUUAAUAGCCUGGUUUAGGGUAAGCUUGAACCUUAACCCUAACCUUAACCCCAACCCUAACCUAGCCUGAGAUGGAACAUGAUAUUGUCGUCAGAAAGGACAAACGUGUGUCUCUACAGGAGACAGACAUGUCUGUGGACACCUUUGCCGCAUAUUCCAGGGGAAUCUGGUAUGUUCAGCUCCUCUGAUGUACUGUAGUCUCAAGGAGUCAUUAGGAGUGCAUGGCGAGGAUGAGGACACUUAGCCUGCAAACGUCACAGGCCAGCGGUUCACAUUCAUGAGAGCACCCGCUGCUGCAAGUUCAUCUGGACAGAGGACAUCCUCAGAGAAAUGACUCGAAAUGGAAAAGAAUAUAUGCUGAAUAUGCUGAUGAUUUAUUAUUAUCAGUGUUGCCACAGUUACCUUGAAAAGGUUCAUAAUUUUGUAUCCAAAAGCAUUUGGGGGAAAAAGAAACCUUGAGAAGGGACUUCCGAUGGGGGGGGAUCCCCCUUCCAGGAUGACCAGGCUCCAAUGAAUGUUGAAAAGACAACAUUUAUCACAUAGUCUGGUGCUGUACAAUCUUCAUUACGAUGGCAAGAUGCAGGAGACGAGGCAGAGCGUCCAGUGACCGAAGAGUAAAUGUUGGACCCCUCUGUGUGCAGAUUUUUACAGGACACUUUCACACCCCACACCCAACCAGCCGCACCGCCCACCAACAUCACACCUCUGACUUCUGCGUUGACCAUCCACGAACAGGAUGUGAGACGCAUCUUCAAACAACAAACACAGCGGCAGGCCCAGACCUUGUGACUGCAACGGACAAUCAAAAAUGCUGAAAAGAUUGUCUGUACCCCCUACCAACCCUUGUGGAAUUGCACACUGCCAACCCUCCACAUCAUGGUCCCCACCUCUUCCAGCUCCUUCCCCCAGGUAUUAAAGAGGAGAGGUGUGGGACAAUGCAAAGCGGGAAAAUGGUCCAGCUCCCCCCUUUUGGUCACGAAGGUGAAUGUGUGUGUACCAACAAAGACAUUUCGCACAUUCAAUAACAACAAGCCAUUGUUCACG